CACGUAGGCACCAAGCGUUGUCCGGAUUUAUUGGGCGUAAAGAGCUCGUAGGCGGUUCGGUAAGUCGGGUGUGAAAACUCUGGGCUCAACCCAGAGAGGCCACCCGAUACUGCUGUGACUAGAGUGCGGUAGGGGAGCGGGGAAUUCCUGGUGUAGCGGUGAAAUGCGCAGAUAUCAGGAGGAACACCAGCGGCGAAGGCGCCGCUCUGGGCCGUAACUGACGCUGAGGAGCGAAAGCAUGGGUAGCAAACAGG
rnacentral:rRNA from 1 species